CUUCGAUGCUCCCCUGACCUCUCCUCCGUUUGUGUUUCUUUCCGCAGAUCUUGCUCCGAUUUCCCCAGCCGGACGCCGGCCGAGAGGCUGACGGACGACAUCCUCGUGGAGAUCCUCUCGCGCGUCCCCGCCAAGGAGCUGUGCCGCUGCAAGUGCGUCUCGAAGCACUGGCUCGGGCUCAUCCACCACCCCGACCACCGCAAACGGCUCCCCCAAACCCUGGCCGGCUUCUUCUACGGCCGCAUUACCAGUACCACCGGGCAGCGGGUUCUGGAGCUGCCCUUCCGCUUCACUAGCAUAUCGGGGGACGGCCGCUCUCCGGUCGGCACCUCCUUCACCUUCCUGCCCAACCACCACCUGCCCGUCGAUCUGCUGGACUCCUGCAACGGCCUCCUCCUCUGCCGAUGUUACCACGUUUCCGAUGGGGUUGGUGCAUUCCAUUAUGUCGUGUGCAAUCCCGCCACCGAGAAGUGGAUCGUGUUGCCCAACUCCGGCAAGGACAGCAGCCAGGUGGCCACCACAUCUUUGGGCUUCGACCCGGCCCUGUCGCCGCAUUUUCAUGUGUUUGAGUUGGUACAGCAGCACAAGUAUGGCGAGAAUAAGAAUACCGACAUUUCCGGAGUGACAGUGUAUUCGUCUGAAACCGGAGAAUGGAUUUAUAAGGAGAAGAGAUGGAGCAGAGCUACUUGGUUUGCUAGUUGGCACUCCUCCGCAACAGUUUUUCUCAAUGGCCUUCUGUUUUUUCGUGCCCUUGACCUUAAAUUACAUGAUUGUGUAGCCGCGGUUGACACAAAGGGAGAAAUAUGGAUGAAAUUCAGUGUCCCUGGUGGUCAGGUUGAUGGUUUUGUUCAGCGGUCGAUAUUCAGGGCCCCUGCUGAUCAGUUUGAUGAUUUGGAUCUGGCUCAUGGUUUUAUUCAGCGGUCGCAGGGCCGCUUGCAUUUUGCCAACUUUCAGAGGGAUAAAUAUGGUGUUGCCAUUCGAUUAGUAGUUCAUGUUCUGGAGAACUAUCAAGACAAACAAUGGAUAUUGAAGCAUAGCAUUGAAACUUCAAACAUAUUUGGAUGGACAGAUUUAUGGCUUGAUGCGGAUUUUGAUUUUAUUGCGAUUCAUCCGGAAUGCAACUUGCUGUUCUUCGCUGUGGGGGGUAUCACAUUCAUGUGCUAUAAUAUGGAUAAUCGGCAAGUCAAAGUGAUCUCUCAUCUUGCAGAUGUCAAGCCGCUAUUUCUGCCUUAUGCACCGUUGUACACAGAAUCACAAUCAUUGCAGAUUUGA
rnacentral:rRNA from 1 species